rnacentral:rRNA from 1 species
AGAGUUUGAUCCUGGCUCAGGAUGAACGCUGGCGGCGUGCCUAACACAUGCAAGUCGAACGAGAACCCAUUCUUCGGAUUGGGGGACAGUGGCGAACGGGUGAGUAACACGUUGGUGACCUGCCCCGAAGUGAGGGACAAUCCUGUGAAAGCGGGGCUAAUACCGCAUGUGCUCCAGGGGGUUAGAGGCCCCUGGAGUAAAGCUCCGGCGCUUCGGGAGGGGCCUGCGGCCUAUCAGCUAGUUGGUGGGGUAACGGCUCACCAAGGCUAAGACGGGUAGGGGGCGUGAGAGCGUGGCCCCCCACAAUGGAACUGAGACACGGUCCAUACUCCUACGGGAGGCAGCAGUGAGGAAUAUUGCGCAAUGGGGGAAACCCUGACGCAGCAACGCCGCGUGGGUGAUGAAGGCUUUCGGGUCGUAAAACCCUUUUCUGGGGGAAGAGAAAGGACGGUACCUCAGGAAUAAGUCCCGGCUAACUACGUGCCAGCAGCCGCGGUAAAACGUAGGGGGCAAGCGUUAUCCGGAUUUACUGGGCGUAAAGCGCGUGCAGGCGGCUUGGUAGGUUGGACGUGAAAGCUCUCGGCUCAACUGAGAGAGGCCGUUCAAUACCGCCAGGCUCGAGGGCGGAAGAGGGGAGCGGAAUUCCCGGUGUAGUGGUGGAAUGCGUAGAUAUCGGGAGGAACACCAGUGGCGAAGGCGACUCUCUGGUCCACACCUGACGCUGAGGUGCGAAAGCGUGGGGAGCGAACGGGAUUAGAUACCCCGGUAGUCCACGCCGUAAACGAUGGAUACUUAGGUGUAGGAGGUUAUUUACCCCUUCUGUGCCGAAGCUAACGCGUUAAGUAUCCCGCCUGGGGACUACGAUCGCAAGGUUAAAACUCAAAGGAAUUGACGGGGGCCCGCACAAGCAGCGGAGCGUGUGGUUUAAUUCGAUGAUACGCGAAAAACCUUACCUGGGUUUGACAUGUUGGUAGUAGGGAAGCGAAAGCGGACUGACCCUUCGGGGAGCCUAGACAGGUGUUGCAUGGCUGUCGUCAGCUCGUGUCGUGAGAUGUUGGGUUAAGUCCCGCAACGAGCGCAACCCUCGUCGUUAGUUACAAGUGUCUAGCGAGACUGCCGUGAUCAUAGCGGAGGAAGGUGGGGACGACGUCAAGUCAGCAUGGCCUUUAUAUCCAGGGCGACACACACGCUACAAUGGCCGGUACAAUGGGCAGCCACACCGCGAGGUGGAGCUAAUCCUCAAAGCCGUUCUAAGUUCGGAUUGUAGUCUGCAACUCGACUGCAUGAAGGAGGAGUUGCUAGUAAACGCGCGUCAGCCAUAGUGCGUUGAAUACGUUCCCGGGCCUUGUACACACCGCCCGUCACGUCAUGGGAGCUGGUAACGCCUGAAGAUGGUGGAUCAACCGUAAGGAGAUAGCUGCCUAAGGUGGGACUGGUGACUGGGACGAAGUCGUAACAAGGUAACC